GCAUUGGAUAGCUCAGUUGGUUAGAGUGUGGUGCUGUUAACGCCACGGUUGCAGGCUCAGUCCUCGUAUGGGACAGCUGCA